GUGAACUGGUUCAGCUGGUAAGACUGGUUAUGAAUCAAGAGGAGGAGCUGCAGACAGGUGAGGGUGUUAAAGUCCAAGUAUGAAGUCCGACUGCCAGACACCAUUUUACACCUGGACGGAGCAGGAGGACAACAGGUGUUACUAGUUUAUCUCUCAGACUGGAGAAGAUGAGUGGUUUACAAGAUGAGGAAGAGGACACAUCUUCAGUCCCCAGCUGUCUGUCUCUGAAGAGUGACCGGUCUAAUAAGCAACCUCUAAACUUCAGUAAUGAACCUGGACCCUCAGACACAAAACAGAGAGCAGAGUCUCCAGUCCCCAGCUGUUUGUCUCUGAAGAGUGACUGGUCUAUGUGGGAGCCUCCAUACCUCAGUAAUGAACCUGGACCCUCAGACACAAAGUAAGAGUUUCUGCUGUAACCUGAUGAGGAUCCAGUUUUUAUAUAAUCUAAUAUAUCUUUAACCUGUUAAACCUGAUUGCUGGUGGCAAUCAAAAGUUGUGUUAAUGGCAUUAAAACACAUAUAAACGCUGCUGAAGGUUAAUCCAAUGUGUCUGUGUCACUUUGAAAUGAUUACUGAUAAUCCAUCAUCACAUUUAUGGCAAUAAAACUGUUCUUUAAUGAUCGCAGUGAAGAAACUCAGUUGAGUACAGUAAUACAGUUUAAACUCAUG